rnacentral:sRNA from 1 species
AGGAACUCGGCGUGCUCUCAAAAGCGCUUUUACGCACGCUCAUUGAGAUCGUCCAUCGA